GAUCUGUUUGUUACAGAUCUGAAGAGUGCAAUGUUCGUGUCAUGUUUUUUCUUUUAAGCCAAGAAGAGUGCAUGAAAAAAGCUUUGUUACUAUUUUUUUGAUAAAAUUCUGAAUCCGAUUCACAUGCCGACAUACCUCAGUGUAAACACUAAACUGCUAGCUCCAUGAGCUGUGCUAUGUUAGGAUUAAUCAUUUGGCUCCUUGAUGAGCUGACUGGAUGUGGAUAUGUGUGCUUUUUUGAAAACAUUUAUGUAUAUAAUUUACAGUAUUUCCCCAAUACAUACAAUAGUAUACGGUAUAUCUUUGAGAGUGCAAAUAAUUCAAUCCCAGUUUAUCAAUUUGUGUUAUAUGAACUUGGUCUUAUCUAUACCAUUUUUAAAGUAUUACAUUUUACUUGCUCUUAUAAUCAUUUAUAGCAAUGUUUAUAUAAUAUGUAUUUUGUAGAAUGCGGUUUUUUUUAAAUAACAGUUUAAGGUUGCAAUAUAUACUUUAUGUGACUAUUGCUUAAUGUACCAAAGAUAUUAUAAUCUCAAUGGGGUUUUAUAUUGCAUUUUGCAGCCUCAUUGUUAUUAUGAUUAUUUAUCCUAUUAAUUUUUUACACUUUGGAGAAGAUUAUACAGUUUUAUUUCAAUUGCAGUCAUUUGAAUGGACGACCUCUCAACAUUUGCUGCCUUCCAUUUUCUGAUUGUUGAUUUAUAUUUUGAAGAGCAUAGGUGAUUGAAAUUUAUACAUUUAUUUGAGUGUUUCCUACGGAAAUGCAAAAAUGUUGUGCUCAUCAUCUUAUUUAUAAAAUGUUUUUAUCAAAAGCAAUAUUUUAACAAUAAAGUGCAAUUAUAGUCU
rnacentral:misc_RNA from 1 species